rnacentral:tRNA from 1 species
GUGCCUUGACCCAAGUGGCUGAGGGACUCGGCUGUGACCCGAGGAUUUGCGGGUUCGAAUCCCGCAAGGCACC